rnacentral:tRNA from 1 species
UUCAUGGAUGGUGUUAGUCAGGUAGCACGCGGCACUGUGGAUGCCGAAGCAUAGGUUCAAAUCCUAUUCCAUGGACCAC